CAGUAGGGAAUAUUGGUCAAUGGAUGCAAGUCUGAACCAGCCAUGCCGCGUGCAGGAAGAAGGCCUUCUGGGUUGUAAACUGCUUUUGCCGGGGGAUAAAAUGCCCAUGCGUGGGCCAUUGAAGGUACCCGGUGAAUAAGCCACGGCUAACUACGUGCCAGCAGCCGCGGUAAUACGUAGGUGGCAAGCGUUGUCCGGAUUUAUUGGGUUUAAAGGGUGCGUAGGCGGCCUAUUAAGUCAGUGCUGAAAUAUCCCGGCUUAACCGGGAGGGUGGCAUUGAUACUGAUGGGCUUGAGUGGAGUCGAGGUAGGCGGAAUUGACGGUGUAGCGGUGAAAUGCUUAGAUAUCGUCAAGAACACCGAUAGUGUAGACAGCUUACUAGACUUCAACUGACGCUGAGGCACGAAAGUGUGGGGAUCAAACAGGAUUAGA
rnacentral:rRNA from 1 species